AUGAUAAGAUACCUUAGAAGCUACCCUUAUGCCAUUGAUCCUUUUAUUCCGAGGCGACCGUUCCGAGGAAACUUAUUCGAGGCAACUGGAUCAAUGGAACAUAAGGACUCACUAAGGCAUCCUUUACUUGAUGACCACCUUUCGAGGGAUAAGGCAACAGUGAAGCGUACCCUAGGGGUGCGUUUCAAGAGGUUAUCUUUGAUGUUUGUGAUUGGAAUACGCCCUACAAUGCUUGAGGAAGCUAAUGGGAUGGGAAUUUUGGCUUGA